rnacentral:rRNA from 1 species
GGAUCCAGACUUUGAUUAUGGCUCAGGAUGAACGCUGGCGGCGUGCCUAACACAUGCAAGUCGAACGGAAUUUACAUGAAGCCUAGUGAUUGUAAAUUUAGUGGCGGACGGGUGAGUAACGCGUGGGUAACCUGCCUUGUACUGGGGGACAACAGUUGGAAACGACUGCUAAUACCGCAUAAGCGCACAGCUUCGCAUGAAGCAGUGUGAAAAACUCCGGUGGUACAAGAUGGACCCGCGUCUGAUUAGCUGGUUGGUGAGGUAACGGCCCACCAAGGCGACGAUCAGUAGCCGGCCUGAGAGGGUGAACGGCCACAUUGGGACUGAGACACGGCCCAAACUCCUACGGGAGGCAGCAGUGGGGAAUAUUGCACAAUGGGGGAAACCCUGAUGCAGCAACGCCGCGUGAGUGAAGAAGUAUUUCGGUAUGUAAAGCUCUAUCAGCAGGAAAGAAAAUGACGGUACCUGACUAAGAAGCCCCGGCUAACUACGUGCCAGCAGCCGCGGUAAUACGUAGGGGGCAAGCGUUAUCCGGAUUUACUGGGUGUAAAGGGAGCGUAGACGGUUUUGCAAGUCUGAAGUGAAAGCCCGGGGCUUAACCCCGGGACUGCUUUGGAAACUGUAGGACUAGAGUGCAGGAGAGGUAAGUGGAAUUCCUAGUGUAGCGGUGAAAUGCGUAGAUAUUAGGAGGAACACCAGUGGCGAAGGCGGCUUACUGGACUGUAACUGACGUUGAGGCUCGAAAGCGUGGGGAGCAAACAGGAUUAGAUACCCUGGUAGUCCACGCCGUAAACGAUGAUUACUAGGUGUUGGUGGGUAUGACCCAUCGGUGCCGCAGCAAACGCAAUAAGUAAUCCACCUGGGGAGUACGUUCGCAAGAAUGCAACUCAAAGGAAUUGACGG